GAUGAACGCUGGCGGCGUGCCUAAUACAUGCAAGUCGAGCGAACAGACGAGGAGCUUGCUCCCUUGACGUUAGCGGCGGACGGGUGAGUAACACGUGGAUAACCUACCUAUAAGACUGGGAUAACUUCGGGAAACCGGUGCUAAUACUGGAUAAUAUAUUGAACCGCAUGGUUCAAUAGUGAAAGACGGUUUUGCUGUCACUUAUAGAUGGUUCCGCGUCGGAUUAGCUAGUUGGUAAGGUAACGGCUUACCAAGGCGACGAUGCGUAGCCGACCUGAGAGGGUGAUCAGCCACACUGGAACUGAGACACGGUCCAGACUCCUACGGGAGGCAGCAGUGGGGAAUCUUCGACAAUGGGCGAAAGCCUGACGGAGCAACGCCGCGUGAGUGAUGAAGGUCUUCGGAUCGUAAAGCUCUGUUAUUAGGGAAGAACAACUGUGUAAGUAACUAUGCACGUCUUGACGGUACCUAAUCAGAAAGCCACGGCUAACUACGUG
rnacentral:rRNA from 1 species